GUGUGUGUGUGUGUUUAAGUGGUGUGUAUGGUUGUGUGUGUGUGUGUGUGUGUGUUUAAGCGGUGUGUAUGGUGUGUGUGUGUGUGUGUGCUGUGUGUGUAUGGUGUGUGUGUGUGUUUAAGCGGUGUGUAUGGUGUGUGUGUGUGUUUAAGUGGUGUGUUUAUGGUGGUGUGUGUGUGUUUAAGUGUGUGUGUAUGUGUGUGUGUGUGUUUAAGCGGUGUGUAUGGUGUGUGUGUGUUUAAGCGCGGUGUGUAUGGUGUGUGUGUGUGUGUGUGUGUGUGUGUGUGUGUUUAAGCGGUGUGUAUGGUGUGUGUGUGUGUGUGUGUUUAAGCGGUGUGUAUGGUGUGUGUGUUUAAGCGGUGUGUAUGGUGUGUGUGUUUAAGCGGUGUGUGUGUGUGUGUGUGUGUGUGUGUGUGUGUGUGUGUUUAAGUGGUGUGUGCAACAAAGUAACGUGUUAUUACCUCAUGAAAUAUAGGAGCCAAUCACACACCAGCAGAGUGAGGGGGCGGAGCUUGUAGUGCUGGAGGUGUGAACUGACAGGUGACUUUCUUUAGAGGGAUGUUUUCAAUUUGCAUAUUCCUGUAUAUUCAUACGUCCAGGCUUUUUAGUUGUUUCUUAGGCAUUUAAAUAAGUUUUAAUCCACUGUGUGCACGCGUGUGUGUGUGUGUGCGCGCGCGUGUGUGUGUGUGUGUGUGUGUGUGUGUGUGUGUGUGUGUGUGUGUGUGUGUAUGUGAGUGAAGAGAAUUUCACCUCCUGGUCCUCAUAAAUCUGCAGUGUUUACAUUCCACAUGCGACAUUAUCGUUCCUCAGACAUCUCCACCUCACGCUGCAGCGGGUUUACAGGUCCAGCUCACCGUCACUGCUGUUCCUCCACCACAGCCCAGUUCACCAGUUCACCAGUUCACCAGUACACCAGUUCACCAGUACACCAGUACACCAGUUCACCAGUUCACCAGUUUCUUUCACACAAAUAAGAUUUCCUCAGUAAGGAAGUUCAGCGAAGUGGAACAGGAGUUAACGUUAUCAAUCAUGUAGAAGAUACAAAACCUGUCGCAUUUAAUCUGGAUUCAUUUAUGCCUGAACACGUUUCUUUGUGUGUGUGUGAGAGAGAUACAGAGAGAGAGAGAGAGAGAAAUGAAAAGAACACACUGUACCUAUGGGAGACAGGAAGUGAACUGUGAAGAAGGGGCGUGGCCCAUGUGUCUGUCAAUCUCAGCUUUAUGACUUCUGCUCUGUUUUCAUGCUGUGGCAUGAAGACAGUCUGUGUGUGUGUCUCUGUGUGAGAGAGAGCUGAGCAUGUAGACUACUUCAACACACACACACACACACACACACACACACCUUCUCACUGGGUAUUACUAUUUUAAAUGGAAGGAUUAAUUGAACACGGCUGCUUUUCCCAUGAUUCAUUCACACAAUAACGCACUCACUUACUCACACCAUCCCAGUCCCCUGACCUGAACCCCACAGAAACCCUGUGUGGUGAACUGAAGAGGAGAGUCCACCAGCGUGGACCUCGAAAUGUGAAGGAUCUGGAGAGGUUCUGUAUGGAGGAACGGUCUCAGAUCCCUCGCCAUGUAUUCUCCAACCUCAUCAGUGUUAUAGGAGACUCAGAGCUGUUAUCUCAGCAAAGGGAGGCAGCACAAAGUACUGACUAAAAGGGUGCCAAUAAUUGUUGCACACCUAUAUUUAAGAAAG
ensembl:lncRNA